AUUUAACCUGAGGACAUCCGCUGAACGAGAGCACGGGCUGGUUUAAUGACAGCUGCUCAGCUCGCAGAGUCAGAGGGAAGACAUUUUGUUUGUGACUGCGGUCGCCCAGACAACCAGAAAAAUGGCUGGUGCAAAAUGAAAAAUGGAUGUCCACUGUCAGAAAUAAAGAGCGAAAUGCCGGCACAAACAAGACGAGCAUCAUUUCUCUGCAUCAGACUGGAAAAGGGGGCUAUCACCGGCAGCGGCCGACACCACCCACACCACCCACACCACCC